CCACUCGGCCACCUCGUCGACAGGUCUCUGUCGUUAAGUUCUUCUCUCUGGGGUUUGAACUCUUACUCUUGCUGGCGUGGCUCGCCUGUAUUUUUGGGAAUCCUGCUUAGCACAACGAAGAAAACCGGCCGCUCAGAAACCUUCUUCAGACUGAACAUCCGGAGCUGCGCCUGUCCUCUGGAGCGCUGCUGGCCGUACAAAAUUACCAGGAUCCGCCACAAAACAACCCCGCAGGAUCACCGGGCUCCUUCGACGAGGAGUCCUUGAAAUUUUAUGAGAGAAGCCGGACAUCGGGUCUGGACAAGACUUAACAAAUAAGGGGACUUAAAGCGGACACAGAAAAACAAACUGACCCCGACGUGAUUUGAACACGCAACCUUCUGAUCUGGAGUCAGACGCGCUACCGUUGCGCCACGAGGCCAGCCGGCCCCUUCGUUGGGCAGCUCUGUCUUUGACUCUUGUUCGGCCAGGCGGCUGGAGGCCGGCAGCAGAGACCCGAGAUCUGAGCGCGGGUUGGUUGGACACGGCCGGUAGCUAAGCAGACUGAGGCUUUACGGCUCUGGCUUAUCCGUGCCUCCCACCCUGCCUUAGAGCCCUGUCAAAUACCAGGUGGAGGGCGCUGACCUGAUCGCCAGUGCCACCCAGAGCUCACAGCCCAGCGAGGUUCCGCCCAGAAUCAGACAGAAAGACGGAUACCAGGCAGACCAUGGUGAAGCUAUGUCAGAGUCCAGAAUACCCAAAGCGGUGGGCGAUGAGCUCCUCCAACAGGACGCAGAUUUCUGCGGAACCUUGAGAGAUACCCAGCUCAGUCCCCAGAAUAGUGGGAGACUAUAACAUCAGCAGUGUUACAAUCCUAUCCCACGAUGUGGCCUCCUGACUUCUCCGUGGCACAAGCCUCCCCUGCUUCACCUGGCUGGUUUGGGAGCAGAGCAGACCAGUGAAGUAUGAUGGGCCCAUUCUGACCCAUCAAUCUGGAGACCACCAUUCAAUGUGGUAAUCUUCUGCACUAAGAGGGAAGGCAGCACAUGUCACUGGCAUGCAAUGAAGGAGCAGCUGUCUGGGAAGUAGGGGAAAGCCUGGAAGCCCCUAGCAGUGUCUCAGGUCCAGCAAUACAUAUAGAUUUCUCCUCUUGCCACUUCCUUCACUCAGG
rnacentral:tRNA from 1 species